rnacentral:rRNA from 1 species
AGGACGAACGCUGGCGGCGUGCUUAACACAUGCAAGUCGAGCGGUAAGGCCUUUCGGGGUACACGAGCGGCGAACGGGUGAGUAACACGUGGGUGAUCUGCCCUGCACUUCGGGAUAAGCCUGGGAAACUGGGUCUAAUACCGGAUAUGACCUCCUAUCGCAUGGUGGGUGGUGGAAAGAUUUAUCGGUGCAGGAUGGGCCCGCGGCCUAUCAGCUUGUUGGUGGGUAACGCCUACCAAGGCGAACGACGGGUA